rnacentral:lncRNA from 1 species
AUGAUAGUUCUGGGAGAAACAGCGUUUAGGAUCCACAGCAGCUCUAGAGAACAGGCAGAGAAGAAAGAGGUCCCUGGAGAACCUCUGACUGGCCUGCCCACUAGGAGCACAGGUGGAGCCUGGAGAGGUUUGCACCGUUUGCAGAGGGGGAGGAGCCUGGCCUCUCCCGUUCUCUGGUGGUUACCGGGAAUUCAGUCUGUGAGAUGGGGGCCUGUUCAUCUCUCUCGCUUUGCUGAGUUUUUUUUUUUGUUUUGUCCAAUACAUUCGCCUUUUCUCACCCUUCAAAGUGUCUGUGAGCCUAAUCUUUCUUGGUUGUGUGACAAGGACCCUGUUUUUCGCUAAACUAAGGAGGGAGUCCUACAACAGAACAUCCCUGUGACUAACAGUGCCUGUGACCAACUGGCAAAAGACAGUUGGGGACAGGUUUAGGUCGGCUUUGUGGGAGUCCAAUCUUACCUAGUCAUUACAGAGACCAAGAUAUACACCACUUUCUCUCUCCCUUAGACAGGUAUCUCCGAGAAAAUCCACACAUAAACACCACCCAGAGCAGUUUCUUUUUCGUGUGUUUUAAGUAAAUCAUUCUGCUUUAUAAAUGGAGAAAAAACCCACUGCUUUAGGAUAUGACCAUAGAGUCACUGAUCACAGAAUUCUGAACUUUUUAGAUGACAAAGAAAAUUUAGCCGGGCGCGGUGGCUCAUGCCUGUAAUCCCAGCCCUUUGGGAGACCGAGGCAAGUGGAUCACUGGAGGUCAGGAAUUUGAGACCAGCCUGACCAACAUGGAGAAACCCCGUCUCUACUAAAAAUACAAAAUUAGCUGGGCAUGGUGGUACAUGCCUGUAAUCCCAGGUUCUCGGGAGGCUGAGGCAGGAGGAUUGCUUGAACCCGGGAGUUAGAGGUUUUGGUGUGCCGAGAUUGCGCCAUUGCACUCCAGCCUGGGCAACUAGAGUGAAACAUCACCCAAAAAAAAAAAAAAGAAAUAAAAUUUAGGGGCCAUUUGACCUAGCUCCCUGGAUUGAUCGUAUCUAUUCUCCCAAACAUAACGUAGCAUCAUAACAACGUUCAGGCCGCUUCUGC